rnacentral:rRNA from 1 species
UACGGAGGGUGCAAGCGUUAUCCGGAUUCACUGGGUUUAAAGGGUGCGUAGGUGGGCAGGUAAGUCAGUGGUGAAAUCUCCGGGCUUAACCCGGAAACUGCCAUUGAUACUAUUUGUCUUGAAUACUGUGGAGGUCAGCGGAAUAUGUCAUGUAGCGGUGAAAUGCUUAGAUAUGACAUAGAACACCAAUUGCGAAGGCAGCUGGCUGCACAAAUAUUGACACUGAGGCACGAAAGCGUGGGGAGCAAACAGG